CGGAGGAUGAGCCUAUGUCCUAUCAGCUAGUUGGUGGGGUAAAGGCCUACCAAGGCAAUGACGGGUAGCUGGACUGAGAGGUCGGUCAGCCACAAUAGCACUGAGACACGGGCUAUACAUCUACGGAUGGCAGCAACUGGGAAUAUUGCGCAAUGGGCGAAAGCCUGACGCAGCGACACCGCGUGGGGGAUGAAGGCCUUAGGGUCGUAAACCCCUUUUGACAGGGAAUCCACAAGCAGUUACAUGCUUGUGGGUACGGUACCUGUAGAAUAAGCACCUGCUAACCACGUGCCAGCAGCCGCGGUAAUACGUGGGGUGCGAACGCUAUCCGGAUUUACUGGGCGUAAAGAGUUCGUAGGCGUUUUUCUAAGUUUCAUUUGAAAGACCGAGGCCUAACCUCGGGACCGGAUGAAAUACUAGAAGGAUUUGAGUCGGUUAGGGGGUACUGGAAUUGACAGUGUAGCAGUGAAAUGCGUUGAUAUUGUCAAGAACACCAAGGGCGAAGGCAGGUACCUGGGACCGCACUGACGCUGAGGAACGAAAGCUAGGGGAGCGAAAGGGAUUAGAGACCCCUGUAGUCCUAGCCGUAAACUAUGCACGCUUGAUCCCUGGAACUUGUUUUGGGGGUUGGAGCUAACGCGUGAGGCGUGCCGCCUGGGGAGUACGACCGCAAGGUUAAAACUCAAAGGAAUUGACGGGAUAGUGCACAACCAGGGGAGCAUGUGGUUCAAUUCGAUACGAAGCGAAAAACCUUACCCAGAUUUGACAUGUUACCGUGUAGUCCUAUGGAAACACUGGAUGAUCUACCUAAAAAAUAGAUGGUAACACAGCUGCUGCAUGGCUAUCUUCAGCUCGUGCCGUGGGGUGCCGCUUAAGUGCCGAAACGAGCGCAACCCUUAUCCUAUGUUCAAUAGUCAUGGGAAACUGCCUCGCUUAUGGCGGGGAGGAAGGAGGGGAUGACAUUAAGUCAGCAUGGCGCUUAUAUCUGGGGCCACACACAUCCUACAAUGGGGAGUAACAACGGGUUGCCAAGCCGUAAGGCGGAGCUAAUCCCAACAAAACUCCCCUCAGUUCAGAUUGAGGGCUGCAAUUCGCCCUCAUGAAGCCGGACUUGGUAGUAAUCGCGGGUCAGCAGACCGCGGUGAAUACGUUCUCACUCUUUGUACACACCGCCCAUCAAGCCAGCAAAGUCGGCAGUACCUGAAACCUCGCCUUUGGCGGGGCAAGGGUAAGGUCGGCGAUGAGGGCUAAGUUGUAACAAGGUA
rnacentral:rRNA from 1 species